ACUCGUAACGGUGGAUGUCUCGGUUCCUACAUCGAUGAAGAACGUAGCAAACUGCGAAACGUAAUGCGAAUUGCAGAUCUCGUGAAUCAUCAAAUCUUUGAACGCAAGUUGCGCUCGCGGGUAACCCUGUGAGCAUGUCUGCUUGAGUGUCCGCACAAAUCCGAUUUUGGCAUUCCGCAACUGUUGAGAAAUAAUUAUUUUUCCGGUUGCUAAGAGUGCCGCUGAUGGGUGCGUCCGUGUUGAUUUUUUUUCUGUUGAUUCAGAAAAAUUGAUGCGGUCACCUGGAAAAGAGAUGGGGCGAUUCUCAAAAAUCAGGUUUUCUGGUUUUCGUCGCGCGUUUCACGACAGAGUAGCGGGUUUCUGUUUUCUGAGCAGGGAAAAAAGUAUUUUUCCGAUCACUGCGGAUGGAUGGUUUCGGCUGUCUGUUUCUGUUGGGGGUCGACGUAGUAUUUUUUUUUUUCGGCGACGGAAAUGAAUCGUGAAAAAUCGUGUUGUGCGCGGUGCAAUAAUCGAAAAACUGGUUUCGUCGUUCUUUGUACGAAAGAAUACCGUUGUGGGCUGGUCGAAGAUAGUUUUCUGAGCAACGGCUUUUUGGCCGCUGCGCUUGCAGAAGAUACUUUUCCGGUCGCUGCGAAUUGAUGGUUUCGACUUUCUGUUCUGUGGCGGGUGACGUAGUAUUUUUUUUUUGCGAGAUGGAAAAUGUUCUCCCUGUUCCAAAAUUCGGGAAAAUCGUGCGUGUGCGAUGCAAAAAUUGAGAGUUGGCGCCCAGUUUUUUGCAGAGUUUUGUGAUAGAAACUCUGAAAACAAUCAUUUACUGGAUCUCAAGUCAGACAAGGCGACCCGCUGAAUUUAAGCAUAUAAUUAAGCGGAGGAAAAGAAACUAACCAGGAUUCCCCUAGUAGCGGCGAGCGAAGCGGGAAAAGCCCAAUAUGAAAAGCCAGCUUGCUGGCGUUGUAGUUUGAGCGGCCUGCAGCUGUCAGUCUGGGAAAGUGGCAUGGAAAUGUCCACCGUGGAGGGUGAGAGUCCCGUCCAUCCCAGUCAGGGCAGUUGGUACGUGGCCGUUUCAGUCGAGUCGGGUAGCUUGGGAAUGCUGCUCUAAUCGGUGGUAAAUCUCAUCGAAGGCUAAAUACUGGUAGGAAACCGAUAGCGCACAAGUACCGUGAGGGAAAGGUGAAAAGCACUUUGAAAAGAGGGUGACAAGAACCUGAAACCGUUACGAGGGAAGCGGAUUGCAUCGAGUUGAUGGGUGUUUGCGCUUUCAGCCGGAAAAUUUUUUUUUGGUGGACUGGCGCAGACACUUACCCGUCGUGAGUUCUUGGCUGCCGAACCAACGGCGUGCCGAGGACUGUGGGAUCCCCUUUAUUGGGUGAGGACGAUGGGGCAGCGGUGCGAUACGACCCGUCUUGAAACACGGACCAAGGAGUCUAGCGGUGCUGCGAGUCGAAGGGACGUUUAAUCCUUGUAGGCGCAGUGAAAGCGAAUUACCAUAAGAAAUUGUGCUAAUUUGAGGGGGCAUGAGGUCGUUGACCAGAAAGUCCCACCUGGAGCAGUAGCGCUAGGACCCGAAAGAUGGUGAACUAUGCCUGAGUAGGGCGAAGCCAGAAGAAAUUCUGGUGGAGGCUCGUAGCGGUGCUGACGUGCAAAUCGCUCGUCGAACUUGGGUAUAGGGGCGAAAGACUAAUCGAACCAUCUGGUAGCUGGUUCCCCCCGAAGUUUCUCUCAGGAUAGCGGGCUGACAUGACGUUGUUUUGUGCGGUAAAGCGAAUGAUUAGCGCAUUUGGGGGCGUGCAGCCUUCUGGCGAUUCUCAAACUUUAAAUGCGCAAGCUGGCGCCGCUGCUUAAUUGAGCGGUUUUAGCUAGAAAAAACGUCAGCCCCGUGGGCCACUUUUGGUAAGCAGAACUGGCGAUGCGGGAUGAACCGAAAGCGUAGUUAAGGCGUCAAAUUGUCCGCUUAUAGAUCCCACAAAAGGCGUUGGUUCAUCGAGACAGCAGGACGGUGGCCAUGGAAGUCGGAAUCCGCUAAGGAGUGUGUAACAACUCACCUGCCGAAUGAGGUAGCCCUGAAAAUGGAUGACGCUUAAGCGGGCAGCCGAUACUACGCCGUCGAUUUUAGUGAAAAACAAAUCGAUGAGUAGGGGGGCGUGGUGGUCGUGUCGAAGCAUUGCGUGCGAACGCGUGUGAAACGGCCACUAGUGCAGAUCUUGGUGGUAGUAGCAAAUAUUCAAGUGAGAACCUUGAAGGGCGAAGCGGGGAAGGGUUCCAUGCGAACAUUGAUUGGGCAUGGGUGAGUCGUCCCUAAGCCGAGUGGCCAUUGCUUACUCAGGCGGCGAAAGGGAAGCGGGUUGAAAUUCCCGCACACGGAUGUGGAACAAGGCGGUGACGCAAAUUACUGGGGCGGUGACGUUGGCAGUGGCGCUGGGCAGAGUUUUCUUUUCUGUUUAACCGCCUGACGCUUGCUCUGUGGAAUCCGAUUGUCGGGAGAAACAGGCAAGGCACGGGU
rnacentral:rRNA from 1 species